rnacentral:rRNA from 1 species
CGCGUAGGCGGCAAUUCAAGUCAGCUGUGAAAUCUCCGGGCUUAACUCGGAACGGUCAGCUGAUACUGCUUUGCUAGAGUGCAGAAGGGGCAAUCGGAAUUCUCGGUGUAGCGGUGAAAUGCGUAGAUAUCGAGAGGAACACCUGAGGCGAAGGCGGGUUGCUGGGCUGACACUGACGCUGAGUGCGCGAAAGCCAGGGUAGCAAACG